UGAGAUUUUGGUGACCUCUGAGGUG
rnacentral:piRNA from 1 species